GAGUUUGAUCAUGGCUCAGGAUGAACGCUGGCGGCGUGCCUAACACAUGCAAGUCGAGCGCGGUUGUGCUUAGUAUUGAGUGUUUUAUUGAUAUAAAACAUUGAAUUCUAUGCACAACUGAGCGGCGGACGGGUGAGUAACGCGUGGGUAACCUGCCCUAUACACAUGGAUAACAUACUGAAAAGUUUACUAAUACAUGAUAAAAUAGUUUUUCGGCAUCGAAGAAUUAUCAAAGUGUUAGCGGUAUAGGAUGGACCCGCGUCUGAUUAGCUAGUUGGUGAGAUAACUGCCCACCAAGGCGACGAUCAGUAGCCGACCUGAGAGGGUGAUCGGCCACAUUGGAACUGAGACACGGUCCAAACUCCUACGGGAGGCAGCAGUGGGGAAUAUUGCACAAUGGGCGCAAGCCUGAUGCAGCAACGCCGCGUGAACGAUGAAGGUCUUCGGAUCGUAAAGUUCUGUUGCAGGGGAAGAUAAUGACGUACCCUNGAGCC
rnacentral:rRNA from 1 species